rnacentral:rRNA from 1 species
CGGCUUGUCUAGCUCGUGUCGUGAGAUGUUGGGUUAAGUCCCCGAACGAGCGCAACCCACGUAUUUAGUUGCUAACGGUUCGGCCGAGCACUCUAAAUAGACUGCCUUCGUAAGGAGGAGGAAGGUGUGGACGACGUCAAGUCAUCAUGGCCCUUAUGCCCAGGGCGACACACGUGCUACAAUGGCAUAUACAAUGAGACGCAAUACCGCGAGGUGGAGCAAAUCUAUAAAAUAUGUCCCAGUUCGGAUUGUUCUCUGCNACUCGAGAGCAUGAAGCCGGAAUCGCUAGUAAUCGUAGAUCAGCCAUGCUACGGUNAAUACGUUCC